rnacentral:tRNA from 1 species
UCCAGGGUAGCCUAGUGGACAUGGCAUCUGCCCGGUAAGCGGAUGGUCGUGGGUUCGUUUCCCAUCCCUGGAC